CCCUCCCUCCCUGGCAGCAGAUCCGCCCUCCCCUCCCCUCUCUCGCGCUGGAAACCCCUCCUCCCCUGGGCAGGCCAUGGCGGCGCCGGCGGCCAGAUGACUCCCUCCUCCCCUCCCCUCCCCUACACUCCCCUCCCGUCACCAGGAGAGGAGAGGAGAGGGAGAUCCUGCACUCAGGCCAUGGCGGCGGCGAGAUACGCUCGGGGACAGGAGGACCAUGGCCUGCUCUUCGUCAAGGAGACCGAUGCCAUGGAGCUGCUCCUCAAGGUCCGACCCUGGUGAGUUCAAUCUAUUGGUUCCGCCAUUCUUCCCUUCCCUAUCUACCUCUACUAGUAGUACUCACCGUCUCCCGCUCCCAGAUCGAGACCGUCGCCAUGCUAGAGGAAAGGCUGCUUCUCUUCCUACCAGAUCCAGGUCGCGGAAGGCUACUUCUUUCCCUCCCAGUCCCAGAUCCAGGUCGGUCGCCAUGGGAGCUUCCUCCGCAUGCUGCGCCGCCGAUAUAGGCCAUGUGAGCUUCCUCCGCGUGCCGCACUACCAGUAUUUUUUGUUUUCAGUGUGAAAACUCCAAAUUUUUCACAUUGUUAGCCAGAUCCUCAAACUAUGUUGACGAACCUUUAGUCUCUAUUUUGUACGCUCAUGGAGAUUUUAGCUGGGUACAUUUGCAUCAAAAUAUAUCUUAUAUAUGUUGUGGACUAUUGUUACCUGUUGAUAAUGCUACUACAGAAAAUAUGCGAACGCCAUCCCAGGACAGAGAAAGAGGCACUAUGGACUAGGGAUUACUUGCUGGAUACCAACAACUGAAAAUAUGAGACAUGGAUUGACAUGGAAACAAGGUAUUACAAAUUCCGUACUCCCAUAUAGUAUAGAAAAAGAUUAGUCGGACUUUCCUUCUUGAGCUUAUUUUCUUUAUGGUUCAUGUGCAGAGAAAGAAGAAACAAAAAUAAGCAUUAUAGACUAGAUGAUGAGAACAGUGGUUUCUCUCAGUGCAAUAUACUUAGUUGAUGGAGCAUGCUCCUGGGACAUACCAGGCUAAAGUGAUGUUCCAGAGUACACAUGGAAAGUGACUUGAUGGAAGUCAACGACAUGGUAACAGGGUGAUUGGAUCUUGUGUUCUUUUACGCAAUUCAUUUAUAUGUUCAUUUCAAAUCAGUUAGCAAUGACAUUCAAUGUGGAAGGAAGGUGAAACAACUUAUGAUUUCUAAGUAGGAGUAUAUAUUAUUUCCAUGCUUUGGUUUUACUUUUUUUGGCUUUAAUGGGUCAUACCAGUGUGCAUUGGGAAAAAUUAUUUCAAUCUAAGUGGCAACAGGUUCCAACGUGUAUAUGUAUUAUGUGCUAACACACAUAAGUCCUCAAGUAUAUCAUCCAUCAUGUCACUAACUUCCUGUCCAUGACACACCCAUGCCGCUGCAUGUUGUUAGCACAUUGAACUCCUUCCAUGACUAACUUAACUCCUGAAGCUGUGGCCUACUCUAUUGCCAGUUUCGUAGAGUAUGAUCCUUUAUGGCCCUUUUUAUGAAGUUGGCUAUAUUAUCCUUGAGCUUAGUUUUAUUUGGGAGGAAGAGAGAGGAAGAAAGGUUGAUGACCCACCAUCCAACAGCCAACCCUACCAAACUUGGAAAUGAUAAUAUUAGGCAUUCUAUUACAAGUUAGAAGUACAAUAAAGCAGCAACAUUGUCUAUUCAUUUGCCUACUUGAAUACUAAACAAGAUUACUUCCUCAAUUUUAACAAGGCAUGCUGAUUCACGAAUUUAUAUAUGGGGAAAAUUCGUUAGCUUCUUGAUAUAUUGCUAUAAUUGUUUUUUACGUAUAAGAUCUGUUAGAUAUAAUCUUCAUAUUGUAUAUAUACACGUACUUAAAAAGUACAAAAUAAAGGAAUUUCCAUAGUAGCUUAGUCAAGAGAAAGAACAAGAACUAAUUAAACAAUAUAAUACUCCCUUCAUCUCUGUUAGAUAUAAUCUUCACAUUGUAUAUAUACACGUACUUAAAAAGUACAAAAUAAAGGAAUUUCCAUAGUAGCUUAGUCAAGAGAAAGAACAAGAAAUAAUUAAACAAUAUUACUCCCUUCGUCUGGAUUUUUUUAGUGUUAGAUACAUCCAUUUGAGCGACAAAUAAUUUGGGAUGGGGGGAGUAUCAGGAAAGACAGAUUACGACAGUGUACAAAAUGGAACACCCAUGUGCUACAAAAUGACAUGUCCGCAUCAAUUAUGUACUAAUACCAAAUACUCCCUCCGUUCCUAAAUAUAGAUCUUUUUAAAGGUUCCAACAGAGACUACAUACGAAUCAAAAUGAGUGAAUCAAAAUUCUAAAAUAUGUAUAUAUACAUCUGUAUGUGUUCGUAUUGGAAUCUCUAGACGGACUUAUAUUUAGGAACGGAGGGAGUAGAUUUUAGAACUCAAUUCUCAUAGACAAAGCAGGAACCUUCGAUGACUAAUGCUUACAAAAUUAUUCUUCUAUGCAAUAUGAUGAAGAUAGUCCAUGCUUCACUAACUAUAUCAAAAGAACUACACAUUGUAUAUAUACACAUUCUACUAGUCUUCUUCUAACUUUCUUCUUUCCCAUUUUAUAGAUUUUCUUAAGAUCACGGAAGCUUGGGUUGAUGGAGUGCUUGUAUUUAGUUUUUGUUUUGACCUUGUGAAACUUGCUACCUAUGGAUGAAACUAUGUAAUAUUGAUGAAACUAUGUAUAUGUACGGAUGAAACUUGCUACUAUUGGUAACAUGUAUUGGAUAUAUGUGUUCAUGACUAUUGGUAAUAUGUGUUGAAUAUGCUAUAUUGGUCAUAUAAAUAUAUUUGUGUUUGAUUUUCUGUGAAAAUGAAUUGAUAUAAGAAAAAACAAAAUUAAAUGGGGC
rnacentral:lncRNA from 1 species